AUGNGNANCAUANCAUGCAGUCGAACGGUAAGGCCCCUUCGGGGGUACACGAGUGGCGAACGGGUGAGUAACACGUGGGUAAUCUGCCCUGCACUUCGGGAUAAGCCUGGGAAACUGGGUCUAAUACCGGAUAUGAACUCCUGCCGCAUGGUGGGGGUUGGAAAGUUUUUCGGUGCAGGAUGAGCCCGCGGCCUAUCAGCUUGUUGGUGGGGUAAUGGCCUACCAAGGCGACGACGGGUAGCCGGCCUGAGAGGGUGAUCGGCCACACUGGGACUGAGACACGGCCCAGACUCCUACGGGAGGCAGCAGA
rnacentral:rRNA from 1 species